UACGGAGGGCGCAAGCGUUAUCCGGAAUUAUUGGGCGUAAAGAGCUCGUAGGCGGUUUGUCGCGUCUGCCGUGAAAGUCCGGGGCUCAACUCCGGAUCUGCGGUGGGUACGGGCAGACUAGAGUGAUGUAGGGGAGACUGGAAUUCCUGGUGUAGCGGUGAAAUGCGCAGAUAUCAGGAGGAACACCGAUGGCGAAGGCAGGUCUCUGGGCAUUAACUGACGCUGAGGAGCGAAAGCAUGGGGGAGCGAACAGG
rnacentral:rRNA from 1 species